CUGCGUACCUUUUGUAUAAUGGGUCAGCGACUUAUAUUCUGUAGCAAGGUUAACCGAAUAGGGGAGCCGGAGGGAAACCGAGUCUUAAUUGGGCGUUAAGUUGCAGGGUAUAGACCCGAAACCCGGUGAUCUAGCCAUGGGCAGGUUGAAGGUUGGGUAACACUAACUGGAGGACCGAACCGACUAAUGUUGAAAAAUUAGCGGAUGACCUGUGGCUGGGGGUGAAAGGCCAAUCAAACCGGGAGAUAGCUGGUUCUCCCCGAAAGCUAUUUAGGUAGCGCCUCGUGAAUUCAUCUCCGGGGGUAGAGCACUGUUUCGGCUAGGGGGCCAUCCCGGCUUACCAACCCGAUGCAAACUGCGAAUACCGGAGAAUGUUAUCACGGGAGACACACGGCGGGUGCUAACGUCCGUCGUGAAGAGGGAAACAACCCAGACCGCCAGCUAAGGUCCCAAAGUCAUGGUUAAGUGGGAAACGAUGUGGGAAGGCCCAGACAGCCAGGAUGUUGGCUUAGAAGCAGCCAUCAUUUAAAGAAAGCGUAAUAGCUCACUGGUCGAGUCGGCCUGCGCGGAAGAUGUAACGGGGCUAAACCAUGCACCGAAGCUGCGGCAGCGAACGUAUCACCCAAGACAACUUUACGGAGUUGACGAUUGACGGAGCGAAGCGACGUCAAAGCGUUCAUUAAAGUCGAGUUGGCUUAGGGAUACGUUCGUUGGGUAGGGGAGCGUUCUGUAAGCCUGUGAAGGUGUGUCGUGAGGCAUGCUGGAGGUAUCAGAAGUGCGAAUGCUGACAUAAGUAACGAUAAAGCGGGUGAAAAGCCCGCUCGCCGGAAGACCAAGGGUUCCUGUCCAACGUUAAUCGGGGCAGGGUGAGUCGACCCCUAAGGCGAGGCCGAAAGGCGUAGUCGAUGGGAAACGGGUUAAUAUUCCCGUACUUGGUGUUACUGCGAAGGGGGGACGGAGAAGGCUAUGUUGGCCGGGCGACGGUUGUCCCGGUUUAAGCGUGUAGGUGUGUGUUCCAGGUAAAUCCGGUUCACUUUAACACUGAGGCGUGACGACGAGGCACUACGGUG
rnacentral:rRNA from 1 species